AUAUUGAUAUUAAUAAAAAUGUUUCUCCUCUAAAGAAUACGCUUAUUACCAGACACACAGUAACAUUAUCAAAUAUAAUGAAAUUAUUUUAUGUUAUAUUUACUAGUACUUAUAAAAAAAAGGAAAUUAAUCCUACAAAAAUACUUUAAUAAAAAAUGACUGAAAUUAAUCCUACAAAAAUACUACAAUAAAAAAAAUGAUUGGCCCACUGAAUUACAUGUGGAUAUUGACAUAACUAAAAGCACAUAAAAGAAUAAGACAAAGAUUUAAAAUGAUUAUAUUGCUAUUAAUAAAAAUGUUUCUCCUCUUAUUUAUGAUGAUAUAAGUAAAGAAUAUGCAUAUUGGUGUCAACAGAGAAUAGAGA